ACUCCACUAACCUUUGGCUCUGGUGUGUGACGUCUGCGAUCGUAAAAAAAAACCUGACGGAGAGGAAGACAAGAUGUUCCAAGUUUCCACAUCAGAUGGACUUUCCCCGGCAACAACUCGCUUGUGUUCCCGGACGACCACAGCUAUUGUUUGGAGCAAUGGAAUGAACGUUUUUCCAGCUUUACCCUGGGAAAAAUGAAUGCUCCUCAUGAAUGCAGCCCGGUGCCAUCACCUGAGUGCCACAGGGCUCAGCCCCCACCCGUGGUGAUGAGAAUCCAAGGCAGCCCUCCUUCUCUACCUGACAGUUGUUUCCCUCUGGCGCUGAGCAGGAAAAUGAGGACUAUUUAAGAGGAGUGCAAGGAGGGCAGUAAAUGUCUCCUCUUGUUAAUAAUACCAGCUUUGUCUGAGCUUUCCCUGGCUCUGCACGGUGAGAGGAGCUGCUGCUGUUUUAAUAUGUUUGACGAAUAAUAA